UAAAACCAGCUCAUAGAGUGGUGAUCGUGAUUAUUUGGCUUAAAGUGUGCGUAGCAGGGAAUUCUAAGUCCUCUGUGAAAUGUCAGGUCUUAAGCUUGACACGUGCAGAGGAUACUGGAAUCCUUGGGACCGGGAUAGGUGUAAUGUACGGUUUGGGUAGGGGUGAAAUCCGAUAAUCCAAGCCGGACAACCGGUGGCGAAGGCGUUACACUGGAACGGGUCCGACUGUGAGGCACGAAAGCUAGGGUCGCGAGCCGGAUUAGAUACCCGGGUAGUCCUAUGCUGUAAACGAUGCUCACUAAGUGUUAGGUAAUGCAAGACAUUCUCUAGUGCCGAAGCGAAAGCGUUAAGUGAGCCGCCUGGGAAGUACGUUCGCAAGAAUG
rnacentral:rRNA from 1 species